GGCCUUGUGGUGUAAAGCACGUUAGAUUGCAAACCUAAAAGCGUAGGUUGCCCCCUGCCUGGGUCU
rnacentral:tRNA from 1 species